rnacentral:rRNA from 1 species
AUGAACGCUGGCGGCGUGCCUAAUACAUGCAAGUCGAACGGAGAUUGUAGCAAUACGGUCUUAGUGGCGAACGGGUGAGUAACGCGUUGGCAGCCUGCCCCGAAGUGUGGGAUAACGGUCCGAAAGGGUCACUAAUACCACAUGUGAUCCCGAGGAACAGAUACUUGGGAUGAAAGGAGCGAUUCGCUUCGGGAGGGGCCUGCGUCCCAUCAGCUAGUUGGUAAGGUAACGGCUUACCAAGGCGAUGACGGGUAGGGGACCUGAGAGGGUGGCCCCCCACAAUGGAACUGAAACACGGUCCAUACACCUACGGGUGGCAGCAGUAGGGAAUAUUGGUUAAUGUGCGAAAGCGCGAACCAGCAACGCCGCGUGUGCGAUGAAGGCCUUCGGGUCGUAAAGCACUUUUUGCAGGGAAGAGGAAGGACGGUACCUGCAGAAUAAGUCUCGGCUAACUACGU